UUUAUGCUAAGUGGGAAACGAUGUGGGAAGGCUCAGACAGCUAGGAGGUUGGCUUAGAAGCAGCCACCCUUUAAAGAAAGCGUAAUAGCUCACUAGUCGAGUCGGCCCGCGCGGAAGAUAUAACGGGGCUAAGCAUAACACCGAAGCUACGGAUGCACUUUGUGCAUGGUAGAGGAGCGUUCUGUAAGCGGUUGAAGCGAAAGCCGAGAGGCAUCGUGGAGGUAUCAGAAGUGCGAAUGCUGACAUGAGUAACGAUAAGGGAGGUGAAAACCCUCCCCGCCGGAAGACCAAGGGUUCCUGUCCAACGCUUUUCGUGGCAGGGUGAGUCGGCCCCUAAGGAGAGGCUGAAGAGCGUAUCCGAUGGGAAACUGGUUAAUAUUCCAGUACUGAUUAUAACUGCGAUGGGGUGACGGAGUAGGCUAGGCUAGCGCGGCGUUGGUUGUCCGCGUUUAAGGUAGUAGGCUAAGGACUUAGGUAAAUCCGGGUCCUUGUUAGGCUGAGAACCGAUGACGAGUUCCUAUAUGGAAUGAAGUAGUUGAUGCCAUGCUUCCAGGAAAAACCUCUAAGCUUCAGGUUAUAACUAACCGUACCCAAACCGACACAGGUGGUCAGGUAGAGAAUACUAAGGCGUAUGAGAAAACUCGGGUGAAGGAACUAGGCAAAAUGGCACCGUAACUUCGGGAGAAGGUGCGCCGGUUUUUGGUGAGGGGACUUGCUCCCUAAGCUGAGGCCGGUCGAAGAUACCAGGUGGCUGCGACUGUUUAUUAAAAACAUAGCACUCUGCAAACUCGAAAGAGGACGUAUAGGGUGUGACGCCUGCCCGGUGCCUGAAGGUUAAUUGAUGGGGUUAGCGUAAGCGAAGCUCUUGAUCGAAGCCCAAGUAAACGGCGGCCGUAACUAUAACGGUCCUAAGGUAGCGAAAUUCCUUGUCGGUAAGUUCCGACCUGCACGAAUGGCGUAACGAUGGCCACACUGUCUCCACCCGAGACUCAGUGAAAUUGAAAUCGCAGUGAAGAUGCUGUGUAUCCGCGGCUAGACGGAAAGACCCCGUGAACCUUUACUAUAGCUUCACAGUGAACUUUGAACCUACUUGUGUAGGAUAGGUGGGAGGCUUUGAAGAUAGGACGCCAGUUCUAUUGGAGCCAAUCUUGAAAUACCACCCUGGUACGUUUGAGGUUCUAACUCAGGUCCCUUAUCGGGAUCGAGGACACUGUGUGGUGGGUAGUUUGACUGGGGCGGUCUCCUCCCAAAGAGUAACGGAGGAGCACGAAGGUGUGCUCAGCAUGGUCGGAAAUCA
rnacentral:rRNA from 1 species